rnacentral:rRNA from 1 species
UGGGGAAUAUUGGUCAAUGGGCGAGAGCCUGAACCAGCCAAGUCGCGUGAAGGAAGACUGCCUUAUGGGUUGUAAACUUCUUUUAUACAGGAAUAAAAAGGCUUACGUGUAGGCCAUUGCAAGUACUGUAUGAAUAAGCAUCGGCUAACUCCGUGCCAGCAGCCGCGGUAAUACGGAGGAUGCGAGCGUUAUCCGGAUUUAUUGGGUUUAAAGGGUGCGCAGGCGGGCUUUUAAGUCAGCGGUGAAAUCUGGACGCUUAACGUCCAAACUGCCGUUGAAACUGGGAGUCUUGAGUAUGGAUGAAGUAGGCGGAAUUCGUUGUGUAGCGGUGACAUGCAUAGAUAUAACGGAGGAACUCCGAUUGCGUAGGCAGCUUACUAAGCCAUAACUGACGCUCAUGC